ensembl:lncRNA
CUGGGCUCACUGAUAAGAAGAAAUGUGCCUGAAGCGACUGACAGCCACCAGGAGACCAGACCCUGCCUGAGGAUGAACCCAACACAGAGGAAAGAAGAGAUAGACUGAAGUGUCCUUGGAGAUUCUCCACCCCUCUGGGCCUGAAAUCAGCACUGUCCCUAAGCUACUUGGAGUAACUCAUCAUUUCUUUUUGUUUCUGCUUGUUUGGAGGUCUGCCAGUUUCAACUGGAAAAUCCUGGCUGGAACACUACUUGUUCUCCUAGGCUCCAGACUAAGCUGUGUGCAAAGAAAACACACAAUACACACGACCCAGCGGCAAGCUAGUGAAGACACCAGCACAUGGUCUUUCUCCCACUCUGAAGUUUGCUGACAUUCCUUGAUCUUCCUGUGCUGCCUCUGCCAUCAGAUGAGAAGUCACAUGUUUCUGAGCCUUGGCCAGGUGCAUGGAUUGGCCAUUGUGUUUAUUUUUCAUCAACUUUUUCCACGGCAGCAGAUGUGCAACUGUUACUUCAAGCCUUUUCUGGGAGGAUCAAAUGACAGCUUACAGGUACCAGGAGCCAUGGGCAUCACAGAUGAAGCCAA